GACGAACGCUGGCGGCGUGCCUAAUACAUGCAAGUCGAACGCACUCUCGUUUAGAUUGAAGGAGUUUGCUCCUGAUUGAUCAACAUUUGAGUGAGUGGCGGACGGGUGAGUAACACGUGGGUAACCUGCCCUAAAGUGGGGGAUAACAUUUGGAAACAGAUGCUAAUACCGCAUAAAACCUAACACCGCAUGGUGUAGGGUUGAAAGAUGGUUUCGGCUAUCACUUUAGGAUGGACCCGCGGUGCAUUAGUUAGUUGGUGAGGUAAAGGCUCACCAAGACCGUGAUGCAUAGCCGACCUGAGAGGGUAAUCGGCCACACUGGGACUGAGACACGGCCCAGACUCCUACGGGAGGCAGCAGUAGGGAAUCUUCCACAAUGGACGAAAGUCUGAUGGAGCAACGCCGCGUGAGUGAAGAAGGUUUUCGGAUCGUAAAACUCUGUUGUUGGAGAAGAAUGUGUCUGAUAGUAACUGAUCAGGUAGUGACGGUAUCCAACCAGAAAGCCACGGCUAACUACGUG
rnacentral:rRNA from 1 species